UACCCUGAGUGGUGGAUCACUUGGCUCGUGGGUCGAUGAAGAACGCAGCAAAAUGCGUGACAAACUGUGAACUGCAGGACACAUGAACAUUGACAUUUCGAACGCACAUUGCGCCCCUUUGGGAUUCUAUCCCGAGGGCCAUGUCUGUCUGAGGGUCG
rfam:Oryza sativa Indica Group scaffold002041 genomic scaffold, whole genome shotgun sequence.